UACGGAGGGUGCAAACGUUGCUCGGAAUCAUUGGGCGUAAAGCGCACGUAGGCGGCGCGAAAAGUCAGGUGUGAAAGCCCUCGGCUUAACCGAGGAAGUGCACUUGAAACUUUCGGGCUUGAGUACAGAAGAGGGUCUCGGAAUUCCCGGUGUAGAGGUGAAAUUCGUAGAUAUCGGGAGGAACACCAGAGGCGAAGGCGGAGACCUGGGCUGAUACUGACGCUGAGGUGCGAAAGCGUGGGGAGCAAACAGG
rnacentral:rRNA from 1 species